CCAUCGCCACCGCACCACCCUCGGUCGUCGCCGCACCACCCCCGUCGAUGAUUCGUUUGAAGACUGCACAUUUGAUUGGCUCUAAUGGCCUCAAGCUCGCCAACCAUUCAUUCCCGAAACUGUCAACUACAUCAAAUCACUGGAUGCUGAGGAAGACAUUGCUCUACUUAACUUUUACGGCUGGAAUUUACCCUCAGGAUGUGCAGGCACUUUUCGAAUAUCCACCAUGCUACUCAAGAAAAGUGUGGAGAAAGGAUUCACCCCUUUUUCCAUUGGAAACAUCAUGUGUAGGGAAAACUUGAAUAAGCAAUCCGUGAUUGAAUAAAUUGUCCAAGAAGCCGACGAUCUUGUUCUUCCUGGUUCAAGUGAGACUGCAUUCAUUGAGACUGUUUCUCAGAUCAUGGAUCGUCAUCUGGGUUUAUUUGCCUAACAAAGGUCCAUAGAUGAUAAUAAUUAGUAUAUAACUUCAUUUCUUUUGUGUAUAAGACCGUAUUAUGUUUUUGGUACAUAUGUAUAUAUGAGGGUGGAUAUGUCCCAAAAUCCUUCCAAGCAGUUAAAGAAUGAGGUUUUUAAAUUUAAAUAUGUUUAAACAUUUGAUUUGUUCCUUUAUUUGUUUUGUAUUUUGAUUUGUUGCUCUUGGAUUAAGUCUGAAUUUGAGUGGGGUUGAAGAC